CAGUUUGUUAUAACAAGUUUGAAACAAGCUGUUAACAACUUGUAACAAGCUUGAUGGCAUCAUCAGCCUUGUUACAAGACUGUGCUAACAAGUUUGUUACAGCUAUGAUAUAACAAGGAUGUUACAAGAUUGUCAACACAAGGUUGUAACAAUCUUGCUAUAUUAAGCAUGUAACGGACUUGUCAGAACAACCUUGCAACAAGUCUGAUAAUUUCGACAAGGUUGUUACAAGUUGUCAACAAGUUGUUCCAAACCUGUUGAGAACUUG
rnacentral:miRNA from 1 species